rnacentral:rRNA from 1 species
UACGUAGGGUGCAAGCGUUGUCCGGAAUCAUUGGGCGUAAAGCGUGUGUAGGCGGACCCGUCAGUGUCUUGUGAAAUCCCACGGCUCAACCGUGGAACGGCUGGGCAUACUGCGGGUCUUGAGACACCUAGGGGCGAGCGGAACAGGCGGUGGAGCGGUGAAAUGCGUAGAUAUCGCCUGGAACGCCGACGGUGAAAACAGCUCGCUGGGGGUGUUCUGACGCUGAGACACGAAAGCCAGGGGAGCGAACGGG